GUGGAGUAGAGUUCACGGGCAAUACCACAUAUAAUUGCAGAAUAUAAUUGGUGGAAAACAUACUAUUUGACGUAUUUAUUAUCUAUUUGAAAUAUAAGACUUCAUGUUAUGCAUCAUCUUCCAUAACCCGGGAUCCUGCAAACCUGUUGCAACACCUGACUCACAGAAAAGCUUUUCAGAAUUAUUGAGAGAGGCUGCCAACCGCCUCAACUGGACGGGACGCGGUAUGGGCUGUAAUUCAGGACAUCCUGGCUUGCACAUCCAUUUGAUUCAGACUGUAUGAGAUAGGCUGGAACUGUAGAGGUACUGGGAGCAGUAAACUGACUCAGGAGGACAUGCCCUGAAAGUAGUCUGGUCCUCUGUUCCCUCAAGAAACACAAAACCGAGGAUUGGUACUUCGUUAUCUUGUGCUGUAUGAAGUACCGUAUCACAAACAGUUGAAGAGGCUCCCAUACAACCUGCUAAGUGGGAAUGUGUGGAGCCAAGAUCUCAAGAUGGGACACUAUACCAGGCCCUACAAGGAUAAGAUUUAGAAUACACGUAUAUGAUUGGAAGACAGCCAGAUAGUGCAUGGGAUGUGUUGAAGGUCCAGUCAAGAAUAAAUAUGCUGUUUAAGACAGAGAUAUUUGGGGAAGCACAAAGACAGCUGGAAAGGCCAAGAAAGAGAUGGAAAGAAGGCUGACGUGUACUAUAUUUUGUGAAUGAAAGCUUCUCCCCCUGAC